GGAAAACAAAAUGCAUGUUUACUGGUGAAAGAAUCGUCCAGAGCUGCUGGAGACAGGGAGAGUGUGAUUGACAACGAAGUAUCAAUAGACACAGGCAGAGGAUGCAGAUGCCUUUAAUAUGACUUGUGUGCCCACUGAAGGCAGUCAGGCAGAAACAUGAGUUUGGUUUCUGCAAAACACAUGCUGAGUCACUUUCUUGCGGCUGUUGAUAUUCAAAAUUGUCCUGUCAUCACCUAGGUCUUUGCUGUUGUUGUUCGGUUCACCCAAGGAGAAAAAAAAUUGAAUUGAGCAACAGAAG